AUUGAACGCUGGCGGCAUGCUUUACACAUGCAAGUCGAACGGCAGCGCGGGCUUCGGCCUGGCGGCGAGUGGCGAACGGGUGAGUAAUGCAUCGGAACGUGCCCAGUAGUGGGGGAUAGCCCGGCGAAAGCCGGAUUAAUACCGCAUACGACCUGAGGGUGAAAGCGGGGGACCGAAAGGCCUCGCGCUAUUGGAGCGGCCGAUGUCGGAUUAGCUAGUUGGUGGGGUAAAGGCUUACCAAGGCGACGAUCCGUAGCUGGUCUGAGAGGACGACCAGCCACACUGGACUGAGACACGGCCCAGACUCCUACGGGAGGCAGCAGUGGGGAAUUUUGGACAAUGGGGGCAACCCUGAUCCAGCCAUGCCGCGUGCGGGAAGAAGGCCUUCGGGUUGUAAACCGCUUUUGUUCGGGAAGAAAUCCUCUGGGCUAAUACCCCGGGGGGAUGACGGUACCGGAAGAAUAAGCACCGGCUAACUACGUG
rnacentral:rRNA from 1 species